GAAAAAUAGGCGUUUGUUUUCAAUUUUCCAAGUUUGGCAAACUUUUGAACCCCAUAGAUCUCUCUCUUCCCGUAUACCUCUCUCUUCCCACUCGCUCUUUCUUUCCCGCACGUAGACAUGCAUCUCUCCCUCUCGCUCUUUCUUUCCUGUACGUAGACCUGCAUCUCUCCCUCUUUCUCUCUCUUUCCCGUAGACCUCUCUCUCCUCUUCGCAACCUUCAACCCCCAAAUCUCAAAGCCGACGCGACGUAGGUUCCCAAAAUCAAGGGCAUGUUCAUCGGCUGUGAGGUGGUGGUUAUCUGUCAGUCUCCUGUGUAUAGAUGUCGCAGUUGAUCACUCGUCGUCGGAGUGUGUCCAAUGCAGCUCCUGCAUUAUCAGCAUCUAGUGCUCCAGGUGUGAGUGCUCCAAGCGUGAGUGCUCCAUUGAUUGGGGAGCCUACACCCCUUACGGAGGCUACUCCUACGACGUCCCAGGUGCCCGUAUCAUCAACGUCAUCAGUGUCAGUUCAACCCCUCAGUGCACGGCGGCCUCCCUAGCGCCGCCGCGAGCCGGAGCCUUCUGAUCACACUUCCUUGUCCUCCAGAGUCGAGGAUGGGGCCUCCCAACCAGCUAAAAAAAAACACCAAGGGGCCCAAUCGAAUGUUGAAGGAGCUACAGCUUGUACGUAUGUCUGCCUCCUUGAUCAAGAUUGCGUAUGAUGAGCGACAUUGUGGAGCGGUUACCUCACAGCAGCAUAACAGCGUCGUUAAUUGCUGUGGUUUUAUUAUUAGGAAUUUUUGUCCUAUGCGGUGGGAGAGUUGGGCAAAAAUUCCCGAUGAGACGAGGACCCUGGUGCGAGAUAAUUUGGAGGUCGUUUUUGAAAUGGAGGACAUAUCCCCUGAGGUCAGUGCCUACUUAGAGGAGACCUUUGCAAGCCGGUACAAAGAUUGGAAGAGCACUCUUCACAAGCAUUUUUAGCUAUGGGAAUCUCCGGAGAUUGCUCGCCUACAGGGUUGCCCACUCGAGUAUAAGGAGCGGCGAGAGGAUUGGGAGUGGCUCUGCACACAUUUUACGGAUCCAAAAUUUGUGAAUAAAUCUGUUGUUGGCAAGAAAGCUCGGGACUCAAAGACACUUCUCCACCAUUCCAGUUCGAAGCCCUUUUCGUAUAGGGUUGAGGCACGACGUGAGAAGGGUUCUAAGUUCCCACAGAUUGACCUGUUCAAGCAUGUUUACGUUCAUCCCAACAAUGAGAAUAGUGACCAGCUUUAUUGGAAAAGAGCACUGCUAUUCUCCAAGAAGCAACAUCGCAGCUUCCCCCAAAGACCCCGAUCGAGGACGUCAUUGUACCCAAGGAUGCAAAUGUUCAGAUCGUGACUGAGGUCCUGGAUCAGAAGUUCGGUCGUCAUCAUGGUAAGGUUGUUAGGUGUACGGGGAAGGCGGGGGUUCGUGAAACGGGUGCCUCUUCUUCCAGAUUGUCCACAGGAAAGGUCAAUUCCUUGAAGGAGGAAGUGACAACCCUAAGAGGUCAGGUUACGGCCCAGGGCGACCACAUUAGGGCCCAGGACGAGAGGAUGAAUAUGAUUGUUCAGGCCUUAGCGAUGUCUGGCCUCCAAAUCCCGACGAUGCCAACACCUAAUGUUGCUCCACCUUCGACUUCCCAGCCACUUUACCCAGAUGAUACCGAGUAGCAUGAUGUAUUAAACUUAGAAGACUUGUAGUUUUUUAAUUUCUUGUUCGGACAA